rnacentral:misc_RNA from 1 species
CUUAACAUACGCACUUAUUUUACAAAUUAACUACAGAAAUAACCUUAACAUACGCACUUAUUUCAAUAUAUCAUUGUUCCAGCCAAACCCUUGCAGUCUCCAAUGCCACCUUCGCAGCACCACGCACCGAGUCUCUCUGGCGUUCCAGUUCUAAGGCUUCUGCCAACUUAUCAUAUGCAGCCUCCAUACUGCUCUUUGACUCCAA